rnacentral:rRNA from 1 species
UACGAAGGGGGCUAGCGUUGUUCGGAAUUACUGGGCGUAAAGCGCACGUAGGCGGCCAUUUAAGUCAGGGGUGAAAUCCCGGGGCUCAACCCCGGAACUGCCUUUGAUACUGGGUGUCUAGAGUGUGGAAGAGGUGAGUGGAAUUCCGAGUGUAGAGGUGAAAUUCGUAGAUAUUCGGAAGAACACCAGUGGCGAAGGCGACUCACUGGACAGGUAUUGACGCUGAGGUGCGAAAGCGUGGGGAGCAAACAGG